AACGCACAUUGCGCCCGCCAGUAUUCUGGCGGGCAUGCCUGUUCGAGCGUCAUUUCAACCCUCGGAACCUCAGCAAUGAGGAGCCGGUGUUGGGGCUCGGGCCGCCCUCGUCGGCAGCCCGUCCCCUAAAUUCAGUGGCGGUCUCGCUGCAGCCUCCCCUGCGUAGUAGCACACCUCGCAGUACGGAGCGCGGCCUGGCCACGCCGUAAAACCCCCAAUUUCUCAAGGUUGACCUCGGAUCAGGUAGGAAUACCCGCUGAACUUAA
rnacentral:misc_RNA from 1 species